rnacentral:rRNA from 1 species
CCUAUGGAUGGCAGCAGUGAGGAAUAUUGGUCAAUGGGCGCGAGCCUGAACCAGCCAAGUAGCGUGAAGGAUGACUGCCCUACGGGUUGUAAACUUCUUUUAUAAAGGAAUAAAGUGAGGCACGUGUGCCUUUUUGUAUGUACUUUAUGAAUAAGGAUCGGCUAACUCCGUGCCAGCAGCCGCGGUAAUACGGAGGAUCCGAGCGUUAUCCGGAUUUAUUGGGUUUAAAGGGAGCGUAGAUGGGUUGUUAAGUCAGUUGUGAAAGUUUGCGGCUCAACCGUAAAAUUGCAAUUGAUACUGGCAGCGUUGAGUACAGUUGGGGUAGGAGGAAUUCGGGGUGUAGAAGUGAAAGGCUUAGAUACCACGAAGAACUCCGAUUGGGAAGGCAGCCUACAAAACUGCCACGGACAU